UACGUAGGGUGCAAGCGUUAAUCGGAAUUACUGGGCGUAAAGCGUGCGCAGGCGGUUAUGUAAGACAGAUGUGAAAUGCCCGGGCUUAACCUGGGAACUGCAUUUGUGACUGCAUGGCUAGAGUUUGGCAGAGGGGGGUAGAAUUCCACGUGUAGCAGUGAAAUGCGUAGAUAUGUGGAGGAACACCGAUGGCGAAGGCAGCCCCCUGGGUCAAGACUGACGCUCAUGCACGAAAGCGUGGGUAGCAAACAGG
rnacentral:rRNA from 1 species